rnacentral:tmRNA from 1 species
GGGGGCGCCUUGGUUUCGACUGGAAGUUUGAGGUGCCGGCUGCAUGUGAAGGUUGAUCAGUUGGCCUUCUAAAAAGCUGAUCAAAAAAAUAAAUGCAGACUCUAACGAGCUCGCACUGGCUGCCUAAUUAACGCGGCCUCGUCCGAUCACCAACGCCUGCUAGGUGGGAAGACGUCAUAAUCAGCAGGCUGGUGCAAAGCGGGGUUGCCGCGCCGCGCACGAGAUUUCCACAGGCAACUGGCGAGCCUCAUAGCUGACGCAUGGCGGAGAGGACGCGAGAUUGCAGCAAUAUGCGUCUGAACAUGGAGAUGCCAGCACCAACGGCAUUCAGGACAGGGGUUCGAUUCCCCUCGCCUCCACCA